UUUGAUCAUGGCUCAGAACGAACGCUGGCGGCAGGCCUUACACAUGCAAGUCGAGCGCACCUUCGGGGCGAGCGGCGGACGGGUUAGUAACGCGUGGGAAUAUACCCUUCACUACGGAAUAGCCUCGGGAAACUGAGAGUAAUACCGUAUACGCCUUCGGGGGAAAGAUUUAUCGGUGAUGGAUUAGCCCGCGUCUGAUUAGAUAGUUGGUGGGGUAAUGGCCUACCAAGUCUACGAUCAGUAGCUGGUUUUAGAGGAUGAUCAGCAACACUGGGACUGAGACACGGCCCAGACUCCUACGGGAGGCAGCAGUGGGGAAUCUUAGACAAUGGGCGAAAGCCUGAUCUAGCCAUGCCGCGUGUGUGAUGAAGGCCUUAGGGUCGUAAAGCACUUUCGCCAGGGAUGAUAAUGACAGUACCUGGUAAAGAAACCCCGGCUAACUCCGUGCCAGCAGCCGCGGUAAUACGGAGGGGGUUAGCGUUGUUCGGAAUUACUGGGCGUAAAGCGCACGUAGGCGGAUCAGAAAGUUGGGGGUGAAAUCCCAGGGCUCAACCCUGGAACUGCCCUCAAAACUCCUGGUCUUGAGUUCGAGAGAGGUGAGUGGAAUUCCAAGUGUAG
rnacentral:rRNA from 1 species